CUGAGAGGGCCCUGAGGGCAGAGGGCGCUUCCUGAGACACGGAUAGGCUCACUGGCUGGCGGUGGUGUCACUGUGUCGCCCGGCGACAGAUACAGGGUGUUUGCUCUGGAAUCUGCCAACGACUCCCAUCCAGAUCCCGGCUGAGGGCUGGGCCCUGUUAGGCCGGGUCCCCACAGCUUCUCCAGGCACCUGGCACACGGGGAAUGAGUGAGUGACUCGGCCAGGAUGAAAGCUGGAGCCUCUGCACGGUCCAAGCAGGGAGGCGAUGGCUCGCGUCACAGUCCAAGCAGCCAGGCGACGGUCCUGGCUGACGGGCUCUGGACACAACGAGAAGUUGGCGUCUACACCCGGAAGAGGGCCCUCAUCAGGCCCCAACACGCCGGCACCCUCAUCUCAGACCUGUGGCCUCCAAAACAGUGAGAAAUCAACCCUGCUGUUGAUCAGCCACGCGUCUAUGGCAGCCAAACAGACUCAGGCAGGGUCUGGGGCCUGGGGCUCCUGCCUCUGUGGAUCACCCUCUCUAUGGAGCCAAAUGGCUCCCAAAGUCACUCGGGACCUCAGAAUGUUGACCUUGUUUCAAAUUAGGGUCUUUGAAGAUGCAGUUAAGACAAGGCCGCACUGAAGUAGGGUGGACCCUAAAUCCGACGGCAGGUGCCUGAGAAGAAGAGGAGAGACAGAGACAGCAGAAUGACUCAGAGACGGAGGCAGAGACUGGGGCAGUGCACCUGCCAGGCCAGGAGGGCCAGAGGUUCCUGGCAACUCCAGAAGCAGGAGGGAGGCCGGGGGAGGGUCCUCCCUGGAGCUGCCAGAGGGAACCAGCCCUGCAGCGUCUUGAUUUUGGACAUUCGGCUCCAGAGAGAACAGAUUCUGUCACUCUAAGGCACCUGGUUUGUGGUACUUUGUUUAGGCAGCGGAGACCCCCAGCCCCAAAUAAACUCCCAGCACCCAAGU
rnacentral:lncRNA from 1 species